ACAACGACUCUCGGCAACGGAUAUCUCGGCUCUCGCAUCGAUGAAGAACGUAGCGAAAUGCGAUACUUGGUGUGAAUUGCAGAAUCCCGUGAACCAUCGAGUCUUUGAACGCAAGUUGCGCCCGAAGGCCUUUGGCCGGAGGGCACGCCUGCCUGGGUGUCACGC
rnacentral:rRNA from 1 species